rnacentral:sRNA from 12 species
CCCUGACAGACUCAUUGGGAGUCUGACACUAGCCAAGACAGGAGAUCUAAAUG